GAACCUUCUACGGCUUGGCAAAUCUUACAUAUCUCAAUAUUUCCGGGAAUGAGAUGACUGAGAUAGUAGCCGACACAUUCAGUGAACUCCAGAACCUCGAAGCGCUGGUCAUUACGGAUGCACCAGAAUUGCGAAUUGCAGCUAAGAAUGCAUUCACUGGUCUCUACAAUCUGAAAACGUUG